rnacentral:rRNA from 1 species
AGUGAACGCUGGCGGUAGGCCUAACACAUGCAAGUCGAACGGCAGCACAGGAGAGCUUGCUCUCUGGGUGGCGAGUGGCGGACGGGUGAGGAAUACAUCGGAAUCUACUCUGUCGUGGGGGAUACGUAGGGAAACUUACGCUAAUACCGCAUACGACCUACGGGUGAAAGCAGGGGACCUUCGGGCCUUGCGCGAUUGAAUGAGCCGAUGUCGGAUUAGCUAGUUGGCGGGGUAAAGGCCCACCAAGGCGACGAUCCGUAGCUGGUCUGAGAGGAUGAUCAGCCACACUGGAACUGAGAAACGGUCCAGACUCCUACGGGGGGCAGCAGUGGGGAAUAUUGGACAAUGGGCGCAAGCCUGAUCCAGCCAUACCGCGUGGGUGAAGAAGGCCUUCGGGUUGUAAAGCCCUUUUGUUGGGAAAGAAAUCCAGCUGGCUAAUACCCGGUUGGGAUGACGGUACCCAAAGAAUAAGCACCGGCUAACUUCGUGCCAGCCGCCGCGGUAA